AAGUUGGGAUUGAUGGGUAGAAAGAACUAGGUUUUGGAGGUGGCAGCAGGGGGAAUACCCAACAGGUUCUCUCAUUGAUUUCAAGCCAGAUUUUCCAGCAACCAACAGCAGAAAAGAGAGUAAAGGCUUCGAGACUCAACAGAAAUUAUGAUGAUUGAGAAUGAGAAGAAGAUCUCCCCUCGACACAGAAUGCUAAAGAAAUGUAUUGAGGUGUUAUGGGACUCUCUUGAUGCCAAAAGAAAAGCAAAGUUGGAAAAUGGGCUAGAUUAUGACCUUGAGAAGUUGAUGAUAUUGACAAACUGCAACCCUAG